rnacentral:tRNA from 1 species
GGAUCGUAGCGAGGCGCUGCUGGUUUACGACGACGGCGAUCGACAUCUUGGUCACCGAAUAGCCGUUCGAGACGGUCGCGAUACGC